GGGAGUCGCGCUCGGCAACACCGAACGCGCUGCCUCAAAGUCUACCCUGCGGAGUUCGCUCGCCUCGACUCUUGGACCUCACCGUCUGGGUCGACCCGUGUCCCCGCUUGCCGUACGGUGCCCCGCUCAGUCGGUGCCGCACCAAACCUCAACCACCU
rnacentral:misc_RNA from 1 species